GAAUCCUCAAAAGAAGAGUUCUUAAAAUACGAUGCAAAAGCUUCCAAUAUGUUGCCUUUCCACUGUUGAGGUGUCCUCAGUUAGUUGAUAUUCUGCUGAACGAUACUCUGCUUUAGGAAGUAAUUCACCUUUAUAAUAAACACGGUAAAUACAUUCCUACGGCAGAGCACCAAACAACACAAAUGUUUCUAGUUGUAUUUUGCAAGAAAAUUUGGUGGAAGAGAAUGGAUUGGGAUCUUACCUUUGGACUGUUGUUGAGUCUUUUUUUGCAAUAUUUGUGAACCGCAACUAAAAAGAUAAAGAAUAAAGAAACAAUUAGAGGAAAAUGUAGAAUAUGAUCUUUGAUUAAGGUUAAGAAUCCUCAAAAGAAGAGUUCUUAAAAUACGAUGCAAAAGCUUCCAAUAUGUUGCCUUUCCACUGUUGAGGUGUCCUCAGUUGGUUGAUAUUCUGCUGAACGAUACUCUGCCGU